GUCUACAGCCAUAUCACCCUGAACAAGCCCGAUCUUGUCUGAUCUUGGAAGCUAAGCAAGGCCGGGCCUGGUUAGUACUUGGAUGGGAAACUAUCUAGGAAGACCAGGUGCUGUAGGUG
rnacentral:rRNA from 1 species